GCCAGCAGCCAUACCACCCUGCAACUCACAACUGGCAGCCCAAUGAAGGUAAGCAGGUGUGAGCCUGGUCUGUACCUGGAUGGGAGACCUCCUGGGAAAAACUAAGGUUGCUGCUGGAA
rnacentral:rRNA from 1 species